rnacentral:rRNA from 1 species
GACGAACGCUGGCGGCGUGCCUAACACAUGCAAGUCGAGCGGAGUCAGUAAGAGGAAGUUUUCGGAUGGAAUCUUAUUGAUUUAGCGGCGGACGGGUGAGUAACGCGUGAGCGACCAACCUUGCACAGGGGGAUAACGGACCGAAAGGUUCACUAAUACCGCAUGAGACCACGGUGUUGCAUGACACAGGGGUCAAAGGAGCAAUCCGGUGCAAGACGGGCUCGCGUCCGAUUAGGUAGUUGGAGGGGUAACGGCCCACCAAGCCUAUGAUCGGUAGCCGACCUGAGAGGGUGAUCGGCCACAUUGGAACUGAGAUACGGUCCAAACUCCUACGGGAGGCAGCAGUGGGGAAUAUUGGGCAAUGGGGGAAACCCUGACCCAGCAACGCCGCGUGAAGGAAGAAGGUUUCGGAUUGUAAACUUCUGUCCUUGGUGAAGAGAAGAAGACGGUAGCCAAGGAGGAAGCCCGGCUAACUACGUG